AGGCUCUGCUUCCUACAGAACCUGAGUUAAGACAAAAAAAAAAUUAAUUCCCCAAGUAAUUCUACCAUAUAGCCAAAAUUGAAAAAUACUUCCUCUGAGAAAGACCUGAACUCUUAUCUCUUCAAGAGAUGAUGUACAUAGGGAUGGAAUUUUUCUUAAUAUUCCUUUCUAUUAAAUUUUCAAAACAAACAGAAUAAAAUUUAAAACUCUCUCGUUGGGAGUUCCCAUCAUGGUUCCCCUGGGAACCUCCAUGUGCUGUGGGUGCAGCCCUAAAUAGACAAAAAUAAAUAAAUAAAUAAAUAUUUCUUCGUCUUCCCUUUUUCUCACUAUUCCCUAUCCACUUACUUUCUCAGAGUCCCAGCAUUAAUACUGUAAACAGUCCAAUGUGUUGCCUUGUAGAAGUGUGUUUCAUAUAUAGACAUAGAUUUCCCAGGAUCUUUCUUUUUUAUUAUUUUGCAUGAACACGAGCAUCUAUCCAUAUUUUCUUGUACUGGCUUUUGUCCUUUAACUGUAUCUCUCAGAGAUUGUCAUAAUACAAAGAGCUUCUUUAUUCAAGUUGUGGCAUAAAAUUUCAUAAUAUAGGUGUAUGGAAUAAUUUUUCCUUACUCUUACCAGUAAGGAUUUAGAUUGCUUGUAAGUUUUUGACAUUAGACACAAUUGUGAAUUGAGCAUCCUUGAAUGUGUAUCUUUGUGCACAUAUGAACAUAAUUCUCAGGAACAGAUAGCUAGAACUGAAAUUGUUGGGUUGAAAAGCAUAGUUGCAGUAAAUUUUGAUAAGUAUUCCCAAAUUGCCCUUUAAAAAUUUCUACCAAGAGUACAUGAGAAGCAUUUUUUUUUCUCUUCAUACUUUUGCCAACACUGGCUAUUAUCAGUUUUUUUAAAAUUGUCAAUUUAGGCAAGGAAUGAUAUUCUGUGAUUGUUUUAAUUUAUUAAACAUCAUUUUUUGAUCUUUAUUUUAAGCCUCUUUUGGCCUUCCCAUCUCUAGUUUGGAAAUUUUUAUUGAACUUCAUUAGAACAGGAUGUGAGUAAAGUAUGGUUGCUGAAAGUUGGACUGUUCUUUAUAACAACAGUCUUUUAAGGCAGGUCUAAUUACUUCACACUCUCUGUAACAUUGGAUCUUGGAAUUUGGAGGGCUGAGCCAUCCCAUUCCCCUUUCUGAGAGGAACCAGACCUGGGCACCAGACAAGAUGAUUGAAAAGGCUUUCUAUUUUUUGGAUUGCUGGAAGAGGUCUUCACACCUGCCUGGCCUGCUCUCCAAAUCCCCUGUUAGGUCUGACUCCACCCAGCCAGUUUGAACAGAGGCAGAGCAUGCUGAGAACUUUCCCCAAAGAAAGAAAAACAUGCCAGGGAGUCCGCAUCCAGAGAAGCUGUGCCAGGAUUUCCCUGGCAAACAAGCUUAGGCAAAGCUGAAGUUGGCUUGCCAGUGUGAAAUAGCCCAGCUUCUUGGUAUAAUUGGACCAUGACUGUAAGUAUGGGUAGGGAAUGUGUGGUGAAAAUGAGGCUUAUGACCAGGUGUGGGCUACAGAUAUCAAGCUAGUCCUGUAUCUCUACUUUUUGUGCAGAUAAUCAAUAUUCUUGCUCAUUACCUUCCUGUAGGUUGAAAAAAAUAGCCAUGGUCGUUAUUAUUGAGAUGUGCCUAUUGUGAUAAAGAGGCAUGGUUCUUGUUCUUUAAGUCUCCUAAAGCUAUUGAGAAAAUAGGUAUUGUUAUGUAUAGUUGGAAUCGAUUAAUGAGAUGAAACAUUUUCACAUAAAAUGACUCAAGAACACUUUAAAAAAGCGAUGUGGUAUAAGUGCUUCAGCACAGAAAGCAGCAAUAUGAGUAGUUAAUUUGGACACAGUUCUGAGAGGCUCUGUUUAGAUUUGGGAGCCCAUAAAGUUGGCUUCUUUCCAUCCUUUCCACUUAAUUUUCCAUCCUUGCUUAUCCCAGGUAUCUCCUUCACAGUGACCAGAAUGGAAAGUCAGUCAGUACCCCAGACUGUCUCUGCUUCUCAACCCAUUGUUUCAGAGAGAAGGACCAGGUCCUGUUUAGAGUGAUAGCUUUUAGCUUAGACUAUGUCUCUUUCCUGCAUCUGACAGAUCCCUUUAUCUGUGGGAUUCAACUUAAUUCAGUAUAUUUAUUGAGACCCUCAUUAGAAAACAGCAGUGACAAAAACAUGAUUUCUGCUAACAAUUUAAGGAGAGAGUGAAGUGUAAACAACUAGCUGUAAACACUGUGAUGAGUGCCACAGGGAGAUUUAAAUAACAGUUGAUAGGAACAUGUAAGGGGGAUAUUUAUUUUGUGUUAUGUUGAGUUCAUGCAACUUGUGGGACAUCUAGAGAAAGAUAGCCAGUAAGCCACUUGGUAAAUAGAUCUAGAAAUUAAGAGAAUGGACUGAGAUGAUGACGGAAAUUUGGAUUCAUCAACAUAUGGUUUACUUAAAACUUUUGGAUGAGAUCCUCCAGAGAGAGAAGGAUGAGGAUGAAAAAUGAUUGUAUGGAAAAUAUCCAGUUUUAAAGAGAGAACAGAAAUAAAGCUAGUGAAAAACAGAGGAAGCAUAACCUUAUCAAAAUAUUAUAAUUAGGGACUUCCAUGUUUACUUAGUGUAGAAUAAAAGUAACCAGAUUCACCCUUCCACCUAAAAACAACAAGAAUAAUAACAAAACAAAAAAAAUUGUAAAACAAUAGUUUUCAAGAUGCUGGGUGUCAAACAGAAAAAGGCAGUGAUCCAUGUGGGAUAGGAAAAAAUGAGGUAAGCCCUAAAAUUGCCCCAGCUUACUGCCUUGAGAGAAUUUCUAGGCUGCAGCACAGAGGCAACACUGGCAGAGCCCAAUGUACUCCACAAAUUGAAGAGGUGAAGUGGAGAGUCUGGGAAUAUCAGGGUGGCUGGAGUUCACAGGACAGAAUACUAGAAAGAAAGAACUACACUAGGAAGAGAACUGUAGAAAUCAGAAGAUGAUGCUCCUGAUGUAUUCGUAUGAGUACUGAUUAGUGCCUGCAUGUGAGGAGACUACCCAAAACCAAGGAGAGAAUCACCUGAAAUUAAUAAAGGGACACUCCCUAGGACUCAUAUAUAUAGGGCAAGGAUUAGUGCUUGUUCUUGCCAGCUAGAGUGGAAAAUUUUUUAUUUUUAUUUAUUUAUUUAUUUAUUUUUGCUUUUUAGGGCCACACUCAUGACAUGGAAUUUCUCAGGCUAGGGGUCGAAUCAGAGCUACAGCUGCCGGCCUACACCACAGCCAUAGCAAUGCAAGAUCCAAGCUGCAUCUGCAUCCAAGCCUACACCACAGCUCACAGCAAUGCCAGAUCCUUAACCCACUGAGCAAGGCCAGGGAUGGAACCUGCAUUCUCAUGGAUCCUAGUCCUGAGCCACAAUGGGAACUCCAGAAAAGUCUUAAUAUCUUAAUUAUAUAUCAAGGAGAAUACUUGAAAGGGUUUUACUUUAGUAGUAUGGUAAAAUUAACCCUAGAGUAAAUUCAUCUAACAAAAUUUAAAACCAAGACCAACAGGAUCAAACUCUUUCCAAGUAACAUAACAGUAUGACAGAACAAAGUUCAAGAAUAUUUAUAGGAAUACAAAAAUAUCCAGUGUCCAACAAUGUAAAAACACAAUGUCUUGUAUUCAACCAGAAUUACCAGCAAAUCAACUGAAACUGUUUCAUAAAUAAAGUAAAUAAUAAUGAUAGUAGACAAAGGUAUUAAAACAUUGUUAUAAUUGUAUCCUGUAUAUGACAAAUCUAGGGUAAAGAUCAAACAGGAAUUAGAGUCAUGAAAGAUGUAAACACAAAAAGCCAACUCAAAUUUUUAGAGAUGAAAACCAUAAUGUUUGAGAUGAAAAUACACUGUAUGGGAUUAAUACUAAAUUUGAUAUUGCAAAAGAAAAUACUGGUGAACUUGAAUACAUAGAAAUGAUUCAGAAAAAA
rnacentral:lncRNA from 1 species